CAGUCGCCGCGGUAAUACGGAGGGUGCAAGCGUUAAUCGGAAUUACUGGGCGUAAAGCGCGCGUAGGCGGUUCGUUAAGUCUGUUGUGAAAGCCCCGGGCUCAACCUGGGAAUGGCAAUGGAUACUGGCGAGCUAGAGUGUGUCAGAGGAUGGUGGAAUUCCCGGUGUAGCGGUGAAAUGCGUAGAGAUCGGGAGGAACAUCAGUGGCGAAGGCGGCUCACUGGCUCAUACUGGACGCUGAGGUGCGAAAGCGUGGGGAGCAAACAGGAUUAGAUACCCGCGUAGUCCCUGUCUCUUAUAC
rnacentral:rRNA from 1 species